rnacentral:misc_RNA from 1 species
UCGUCCUAUGUGACGUUGAAAGGCGCAAGUCAGGCGCGCCAGUCUGACGUCACGAUCAAUAGAAGCAACUGCUUAAAAAUCACACAUAUUCCUUCGGUGUUUUAGUGUUUGUUCUUAAACAAUAUUAAUAAAAAGUUUUAGUUUUUUUCAAUCAUGUCAGCAGGGGAUGCACUAGCCCCCGGUGCGGGGGCGGCGGGUAGCGGCGGCGACGAUGGCAUUGUGGGCGGUCCGCGAACGCCACAACAAAUCGCGGCCCAACGACGGCUUCAACAAACACAGGCGCAAGUCGACGAAGUCGUGGAUAUCAUGAAAACGAAUGUAGAAAAAGUAUUGGAAAGAGAUCAGAAACUAUCAGAAUUAGAUGAUAGAGCAGAUGCUUUACAACAAGGUGCUUCACAAUUUGAACAGCAAGCGGGAAAACUAAAGAGAAAAUUUUGGUUACAGAAUUUAAAGAUGAUGAUAAUAAUGGGUGUUAUUGGUCUUGUAAUCUUAAUAAUCAUAGUCAUCGGACUAGUUAAAUACUUUAAAUCGAAAAGCACCCAAUAAAAGACGUAUUUUAAUAAUAUAAAAAAUUUACUAUCAAUAUUAUAGUAUAUUUUAUUUUUUCUAUAUAUUUUACAAGGAAAUGCAUAGCAUGUAUGCACGUAUGUGGCAUGGUAGAGGUUCUUUAAAAGAUAAUUCAGUUCGAAUAAUUGGCAUAUACAGAAAACCUACAAUUAUUGAAUACAACACACCAAUACAAAAAAUCAAUAUUAAAGUAAUUUAAUCUAUAGGUUGGAUUGAAAUAGACGAUUAGGCAAGUUGGUUGAAAAAAAUAUAAUCAGUUGUUAAAGGUUCAAUAAAUGGACACUGGUGUUUCACCAAGUAAUUGUAAUUCAAUAAUAAUAAGCCUCUGGAAACACCAUUAUUUUAUUAUCACGGUAAAAUACGAGUGUCUAGCUGUCAAAAAUGUUAAAAUUGUGUAUUUAACGAAAAAAUUAAUAUAAUUAGGUGAACAGUACGAAAAAUUUGUUUUUUUUUAAUAUUAUUGUAGUAAGCGAACACUUUGUUAUCUUUUUAAUGUUUAAUUAAAAGAAAAGAAUAGAGUUUUACAUUUUUACAUUUAUAGACAAUUAAGAGAUUUAUCUAAUGAUUGUUAAAAAAGUAUUCUUUACAAUCUGAAAAAUCUUGUAGUUUCGAUAAAAGGCUGUCACAUCAACGCUCUCUCAACCGAAUUUGAAAUUUUUAAAAGAAGAAACAAUACCAAAAAUAUUAGUAAAUACAGAUAUGGUUGACAAAAAAAGGAGUAGGUGGACCAAGAAGGAAAUGGUUAGAUGCCGCAAAAAAGGACCUUAAUGAGAAAUGUGUUAGAAAUUGAAGAGGAAAUCUAAAGACAGUGAAGAGUGGAGAACAAUAACUGUCAAGAUAUGGGCCAACAAUAAUUUCGAAUUAAAUUAAAAAGACAAUUUCGUUUCGUUUUGAUGCAGAUGGGGCAAGCAUUUGCACUGAUAAAGUUCAUAACAGAAACAGCGCUGUCUGUAGAUUAUGCCUUGCCUUUGAAUCAAAAUGAAACAUAAAUUGUCUUUUAAUUCACUUGUACCUUUUCCUAGACGAAUGAAAACGGAAUGUGAUUGCAUAUUGUAGAAUCCUUUCCGUUUUCUAUAUUCGUCGUCUUUAUGCCUUGUAAAUUGUGGAAGGCAGAAAUUUAGGAUGUUAACAGAGAAAGGCUCUAAUAAGGAAAGUUACAGAUUUAAAUUAGUGUAUAUUAUUAUUUUUAAUAAUGUAUUCUGUAUCUAUGACUUUCCUAUUUUCUAUAAUAAUUACGGUUGGGAGAUUGUUGUAUGCAGUCGUAACAGUUGGUAAACCUUCUAAAGAAACUUUGGUAAUUUGGCCUUUUCGGUUUAAAUUUGGUAAGCUGCUAAUUUCUAUAGAAAUUUAAAUUGACACUUGACAGUGACAGUGACAAUUGACAGCUUGUUUUUAUCGAAAGUACAAAGAUCGCUUUUAGUCCAUGUGGUGAGACCGCUCCCGUCUGGAAAAAUGUCUGAUUUGGUUUCUUUGUGGAUACCUAUUCAAAAAUGUCCUCUUUAAACAAAUAUGAAGGAUGCCGGGCCGAAUUUUUGGGCAGAAAUUGUUUAAACAAAUACAAAAGAUUACGUUUUUUUGUUCCGGAACAUAUAUUGUUUUGUGGGUCAUUCUAAACAAGAAAGUUAUCUUGUAAAUUUUCUCAAAAAUUGAUAGUUUUAGAGUUAUAGGCGAUUUAAAGUAUGAAAAAUGCUCAAAUGCGCAUUUUCGAGCCCUAAAAAUUCAUAUUUAAAUUAGUAUUUUUGAGGUUUCCAGAUACUUUAAGUUUAAACAUUCAGCUUUAAAAUUCUGUAGAGUGAUUGCUUCUAACCUUAAUUUAAACCGUUGUUUUUUAAUUGUUAAAUAUGCAUGUCCAUCCGAUUUUUUGGCCGGUGCGGCGCGCUCUAUUUCAAAAAUCUCCAAUUUUCCUCCGAAAAAUAUUUUUUCUAGAUUCUUUGGGACGAUCUAAAUAAGAUAAGUUUCUUGACAUUUUUCUCAAAAGUUAAAAGUUUUAAAGUUAUAAGCGAUUUAAAAUCCAAAAACGCGUUUUUUGGCAUUUUUCUGAUUUUAAAUCGCUUAUAACUUAAAACUAUUAACUUUUGAAAAAAAUGUCAGAAAACUUAUUUUAUUUAGAAUAUCCCAAAAAAUCUAUGAAAAAUAGUUUUCGGAGGAAGAUAGGAGAUUUUGGAAAUAGAGCGCGCCGCACCGGCAAAAAAUCGGAUAAACACGCAUAUUUAACAAUUAAAAACAACGGUAUAAAUUAAGGUUAGACGAGAUCACUCAUCAGAAUCUUGAAGCUGAAUGUUUAAUCUUCAAUAUAUAAGCAUCUGGUAACCUCAAAAAUACUAAUUUAAGUAUGAGUUUUUAAGCCUCGAAAAUGCGUAUUUUCGCCUUUUUCAGAUUUUAAAUCGCCUAUAACUCGAAAACUAUCAAUUUUUAAUAAAAAUUAUAAGGCCUUUCUUGUUUAGAAUAACCCAAAUAACCUAGAAAUAUAUGUUCCAGGGCAAAAAAAGUGAUCUUUUGUAUUUGUUUAAAAAAAAUUGUUUAAACAAUUUCUGCCCAAAAAUUGCGCCCGGCACCCUUCAGAUUUGUUUAAAGGGGACAUUUUUAAUGGGAAUCCACAAAGAAACCGAAUCAGAAAUUUUUUCAGACGGGAGCGGUCUCACCACAUGGACUAUUUCAGUUUAUAAAAAAAAUCGUAGAAUUUUAUAGUCAAUGUUAUAGUUAUUCUAUCUUCCGUUUAGUAAUAACGAUUUUUAUAAUUUAAUUAGAAAACAUCGAAAACAAAAAUUGAAUUUGUAUAGAAGAAAAAUAGUCGUACUUCAAAAUAUCUUCUAUAAGUAGACAGAAUGAGAUCCAUUGGACACAAAAAGUAUUUGAAAUGUUUCAGAGUUAAUUGCUUACUCACCACUACAAACGAAAGAUAAAAUUGUAAAAAAAUAAUCAGUUAAUAAUAAUAUGUAAUAACUUUAUUAUAUCAAUACGCUAUGGCAUAGAGCAGGGUGUAAAGAAAAAGGUCUAUUACAACACAUGCAUACUACCAGUUUGUACCUUCAGCUUGGAGACCGUAGCCCUUACCAGAAAAUCUUCUAAAAAACUAUAAACGAUGUAAAUGGCAAUGGAACGAGUCAUGCUUGAGCAACCACUGAGAGAUAAGAUCAGAUACACCGAGAUAUGACGAAUGAAAUGGCUCUGGGCCUAUCAUAUAGCCAGAUAUGGUGAUAACAGGUGGACACGGAGAAUUCUAGAAUUGAGACCAAGAAGGAUUACAAGAAGCAUGGGACAACCUCAAAAGUGAUGGGUAGAUGACAUAAAAGCAGUGACAGGCAAGCAGUGGAAUAGUUUAGCACAACAUAGAGAAAGAUAAAAGCAAUUUUGAGUGAUCUACACUCAGGAAUUGAUGAAAAAUGUUUGACGAAGAAAAAGAAGAAGAAGACUAUCAAGUACUUUUUUGUCCCGAUCUUAGCUACAGUUUAGCUCUUAACAACUAUUUUGUGUAGCUUUACAACUGUUACCUACUUCCUUCAACUACCAAUAAUAUUUUAAGACUGAAACUAAUAAACCUAAAUAGUAGUUGCUUAGAGAUUAUUUAGUUCUCAUAGAAAUCUUCCUUCUACGUAGGUAUAUUCUUUUCUUUUAAUAUAAGCGAUAGGUACUACUUGGCUUCAAUUGGAAAUUCAAGCGUAGAAAAUCGACCAACAACUCGGUUCUAAUGAAAUAGCUACUUAGUUUUUUAUUUGUUAGUCAUUUUUGUUUACCUAUUUACUAAAAUAUGUUCAUUAUAGAUUCGAAUCUCGUUUUCGGAAAUAUUUAGAAAUAUUAUGAAGUUUGACAACUAUGUUAGCCAAACCGUUAGAGCCGCGUUGUUGUCGGUUUUCUCUAAUUUUCGGCAAAUUCCGAAACAUUCGUCAAAUUUUUAUCUGUACUUUGAUGAACAGGACUACCACCUAGUAACUGAAAGGUAGGUGUUUAUAUGUCAUAGCUGGGUGUUCGUAAAAAUGUUUAAUCAACACCGAUAAUUAUGUCAGUAAGGAGAAUAUGGUUUUUAUAUGAGAACGUAAAGAUUGUCAUAAAUAUCUUCGAUGAUAUGCUAUACCCUUUCUAAAUGAGAUCUUCUUCUUAGCCUUCUAUCGUCCACGUUUGGACAUAGGCCUAUCCCGACUCCUUCCAUCGGUCUCUAUCCUGAGUAACAUAUUUUUAAUUUGUUCCGGCUACUCUUUUAAUAUCAUCAACCCAUCUCAUCUGUGGUCUUCCUCUCGGUCGUUUACUUUCGUAAGGUCUCCAGUGUUGUAUUGUUGCAUUUCAACGUUCCAACGAGAGAUACUAAAUGAGAUACUUUUCUUUAUUUCAGGACUUACUACGUCUACUCAAUCGUAGUGAUGUUGAAAAAGUAACUAUUCGUUACAAAGUACUCGUUACUUACGAAUACCGAAAGUAACGAUUACUAUAUAGAGAGGCAAAUCGUUACUUUGAUUACUCUGAUUACUUCGUACCAAUCGUAUCAGAGGGAGUACUUAUUUGAGUAUUGUAUCUACAAGUUAAAGUUAAAGUUAAAGUUAAAGUGUUUGACACACUUUCAAACGAAUUUCAUCCAGAACGGGGUGUCAGACAGGGAUGUAUACUAUCGCCACAAUUAUUCAAUAUAUAUGGAGAGAAUAUUAUGAGAAGAGCACUUGAAGGAUGGGAAAAAGGCAUCUCAAUAAAUGGUCAUAAAAUAAACAACCUACGUUUUGCAGAUAUGCAAAUAGUCAAGCAGAGCUCAUUGAUCUUAUACGACUGGUUGAAGACGAAAGUCAAGUAUUUGGUCUGCAAUUAAACAUAUCAAAGACAAAGAUCAUGAUAGUGGACAGACUACAUAACAAUCAUCCACAUAUAACCACAAUUGAUCGGUUUGAGGUUGUGAACUCAUACUUAUAUCUGGGAUCACUAAUCACAUACACAGGAUCACUACAGGAGGAAAUAAAACGUAGAUGUGAUCUAGCAAAAGUCGCCACAGCAAAAAUGACCACAAUAUGGAAGGACUGUCAAAUUUCAAGAGCGUUAAAGAUGAGGUUGACCAACUGCUUAAUAUUCCCAAAACUGACCUACGGAUGCGAAAUCUUGGAUCCUGAGAAAUUCGGAAAGAAGAAAGAUAGACGCCACUGAAAUGUUCUGUUGGAAACGAAUGCUACGAAUUCCUUGGACCGACCAUAGGACAAAUAAUUCGAUUUUAAGAGAGCUAAAAGUUAGCCAACGGCUCUCCAGUAAAGUCCAUCUCCAACAAUUAAAAUACUUUGGACAUGUUAUGAGAGCCAACACAGAAAACAUGGAAAGACUCAUUAUUCAAGGAAAGGUGAAAGGCCGAAGAUCACGAGGAAGAUCCCCAACAAAUUUGAUCGAUCAAAUUACGGGAAUAUGCAAAAGACCUAUGCAUGAGUUAAAAGAAAUGACCAGAGACAGAGAUCUUUGGAGACGGACAAUACACGACAUCACGUCGACCACUACACUCCCUCCGGGGGGUCAGGAUUGAAGAGAGAGAUCUACAAUCGGUUAAUAUCUGAAUCGGACCGGUACGCCACGAGUGUUCGGUAUCAGUACAACUAAAAUUUUAUCUAUGAAGGGCGAAGGCUAUAGAAAAUUUUACAGGAUUACAGAGCGCUAAGAAGUAGCUGAAACAGAGGGAGGUAAAUCAUUUAACAAAGCAUGUACCCAGAAACAGAUGUCUAUACGAUAAAAUACGAUUUGUCGAUGUAGAUAAUUCACACAUGUUUGUUCUUUUGAAAAUAAAAGUGCAACACAUUAGAUUUUAAUAAUAAAUACACACUAUUCUUAUCAGGCCUAGAAAAAAAAUACCUAGUUUAGAUUGACUGGAAAAAAUGUAGAAAUGAUAAUAUUUCUAGACUAUGAUCAUCAACUUUAAUUUUACAUGUAGGUAUGGCAUUGUUUUUAUUAGACAUUUAACACUAAAAACACAAGAAUAAAUCUAUUUUUAAAUAUAGUAAGUACCUAGAGACUUGCAACUUUUUGCAUUGUAUUUAGGAUUAGGAUGAUGUCUGAAAAAAAAAUCAGCAAUAGAAAAAUGGGUAGAAAUGCAUUAUUACAUUUUAAAGUGUAUAAAACGCAUCGAAAAAUGCAUAAACAUAUUAAAUCAGUAUAUUAAGUGCCAGAUUUUCUUAUUUCGAGGUAUUUGGGGUCACUGAACACGAAUAUGCAAUCAGAACCGACCUCCGAAGCACCUGGGUGCCCAGGUUUACUGCUAAGGUACGUCAUCCAGAGUUUCGAGGGUUUGUUUUUGGCACUUAAUUGAUGCAAACAGAUUACUUGAGAUUACUAAUAUUGUGGAGCAGCAAUGACAGAACAAUUAAGAACAUUAAUUAACAAAAUCAUAAAACACAAUAAAAUACCGGAAGAAUUGAGAACAAGCGAACUAAUUCUACUAUUCAAAAAGGAAAAAAGAAAAGACGAAACUUUCUUUUUUUCUUUUCUUUUUUUUUAUCUUAUACGAAAUACUGAGAAAUGCGAUUCUCGAUAUGAUUACCGGUACUCAAAUACAAAAGUAAACAAAGUAAUCAAAGUAACGAAUACUGUAAAUCAGUGAUUCCCAUAGUGGUCCAGGUGGACCCCCAGGGGUCCACAAGGGACUCAACGGGGGUCUAUGUUGGCGUGAAAUAAAAAUGGGGGUUCACAAGUUGCAAGUGGGGGUCCACGAAAAUUUUAUAGGGAUUUGGUAUUUAUUUAAACAAAUUUGCAUUUUUUUAUUGUAAAAUAUCAAUGGAAAAAAUAAUAUUUUAAUAGUAGUGACACAAAAAUGUUAUUAUAAUGCAUCAUAACAAGUUAUUUUGAUUAAAAACAAGUUUUUGAUCAAAUUUUAGUGUAGAAAACGUUAAAGUACCGUGUUUACAUUUUCCUCCAUUCCCAAAACACAUGUCUUUCGAUUUGACUGAAAAUUUGCCCACAGAUAGCCAAAACACAGGACUUUAAGUGAUUAAAAGAAUUUGUAUCGUUUUACAAUACAAAAAAAAUACGUGGAAUAAUAUGAGAGUCAAAAAUAUAGGCGUCUACUGUAAGUACAAUUAAUUCGGAAAAUAUCGACCAUACGAAAAAAAUGGUUAAGAAAAUUAUAAUAAUUAUUGUAAACACAAUUUAUUUGGAUCAAUUUCAGUUCCUACCAUUUUUGUCGAAAAGUUGAGAAUUGCGGAGAUAUUGAACAAAAACCACUGCUAUCAUAUCAAUCAGGGCUUAUGCUCGCGCCUUUACCGCAUACGUACUAUCUGAAAUAUUGAUUUUAGCAAAAACAUGAAACAGAUCAAAAUUGUAUAAAAUUUAAUUCUCUCCAUUUUUGUAUAGGUACAUUUUUGUUAUAAAACUAAUAAUAAACGAGAUAAUUCAAUAAUUAUGCUGUAACUGUCACUCUUUCCCCCAUAACUCAGAAAAUAUCGACGGCUCAAAAAAAAUUAUAAUAGAAUAAAUUAUAGGAAAUCAUAUUUUCCACAACUUCAGUCGUUACACUUGUUGUCGAAAAGUUAAAUAUACCGGAGAUAUUGAGCAAAAACGGUUCUCCUUUAUUCGCGAUUUUAAAUUUACACUACUAUUGACCCCCUUAAGAUUAGAAAAAUAGAAUCUUGCUUGGGUAGCUCGGCAUGCAAGAUCAAAUGCUAACCCGACUGUACUAUAUAAUUUUGACUCUUUAUUGCAUGUAACUUUUCUCGUAUUGUAAAACUAUACAAAUUCUUUUAACCAUUAAAGUCCUGUAUUUGGCUAUAUGUGGGCAAAUUUUCACCCAAAUAGAAGUAUGUAUUUUGGAAAUGGAGGAAAAUGAAAAAAACAGUAUUUUUACGUUUUCUACGCUAAAGUUUGAUCAACAACUUCUUUUAACACAAAAAACUUUUUAUAAUGCCUAAUAAUCACAUUUUGGACUCCCUUCUAUUAAAACAUUAUUUUUUCAAUUGAUAAGUUACGAUAAAAAAUGCAAAUUUGUUUAAAUAGAUUCCAAAUCACUGUAAAAUCGCUUAAAAUGAUAUUUUGAGAAAAGAAAAGAAGACGAAAAAGACCUUCAAUGUCUCAUUUUUACCCCCCCCCCCCCCCCCCAUGUUUUUCAUUGGAAAUAUGGUAAAAAUACAAAAGUAACGAUUUGUAACGAUUACUCGAAAGUAAUUAUAAUCAACAUCACUACUCACUCGACAUAUCUGUUACAUUUUUCUUCCUUAUUCCUCGUGCUUUUCCUCUUCGUGCUUUUUUGUAAUAAGUAGUUUACAUGUUCCCUCUUUUGGAAAAAACUUUUGUUUGUUAUUAUUGUAACAACUUUUUUCAUUUGUAUUGCUUCUUCCUUUUAAUUGUUUAUCCUUUACCACUUUUAAGAAUUCUUUUAUUUGCUGAAGGUUUGAUGCUAACGCAUUUUUUAAGGUGUCCAACGAACUCAUCAUAUUUUUAGGAUAUUCGGAUGGGUUUUCAUUCAAUUUUAUGUUAUUUAUCGAUCUGUUGAUUAUUUUGUUCCUUGUUGCUCAUCAUCUAAUUCUAACACUACCUUCCUACACGAUUCAUUCUUAGAUUGGAACAGUUUCUUUGAUUCUAAGUGUAUUGUAUAUUUUUGGGCAUCAAUAUCUCCUUGUCUUUUCAUCUUUCAGUUUCAUUGGUCGUGUUGAAGUUAAAUCACGACUGCACAAAAAACAGACUGACAACCUUCCAAACAGGUAUCAAUCCGCCAAAAAAGAAGCAGAACUACUUAUAAAGAGGAAGAAGAAGAAGAAGAAGAAAAGUUUUCCUUUAUAUGAGUGCUUGGAAACUUCCCUAAAUGACUUCCCUUGGAAAAUUCUAAGUCUCCUUUGUUCUGUUUUGUCUUAUUUUUUCAUUUAUCUAGGCAUCGUACGUUUUCAAAAUAAAAUGUUUCCUUUUACCAUCUUCCUGACCAUCAGUGACUGUCUCCAUUUCAUAGAUAUUAGCCUUGUUAUCAAAGGCGUGUAAAAAAAGUGUAUAGAUUAAAAAUUAUUGUUAUUUGUUGAAUUUCAGGUUCUAAUAGAUUAACUCUAAUUAAAACUUUAAUUUUAAUAGAUAUUUAACCUUUGAAUGAACACCCGCAGUACACCAUAUUAGAUUUUAUGUGUUUUUUCAUUAUUAACUUCAUUCUUAAGUUAAUAUUAACUGGUAUAUACUAGAAAUUUGUAUGGAUAAAACUGCAACUUACUUUUUAUGAAGUAAUAUCAGUAUUUCAGUCCACCUAUGAAACGUCAUAACAAUACCUACUUUUAUUUGUGCUGCCAUAAAAGAAAAUUGAAAAAAAAAACGAAUAUUGGUAAAGAAAUAUAGGAUUUAAAAACGUGAGAAAAUUAUUCAGUGUUGCUAAUAUUUAAGCAUUUAGAUAAAAAAUUCAAAAAUAUAUAUAGAAAACUUUGUGAGUUCUUACUUAUUGAAUUAGAUGAAACUGUUAAAAGAACCUUGGAAGACAGCACAGAAAUUCUAACUUCCAAACAGGUUUAUUUGUCUGCAAAUAUAAAAAUGCAAUAGUCUAUAAGCAUAUAAAUAUGAGAAUAUUCUUAAGUAACCUUUACAAAGUUCGGUUCGAAGGGCCAAUAAGACGAUAUCAAAUAAUAUAAUAUUCUUCGGCAACCUCAGAAUGAUGGAAAAAACACAGAUUUUAAACCUUAAUUUGUAACUGACAACUGAUCCGACUGAACCGACAGCUGAAUCGCUUCUUAGCAAGUUGAAAGAAUUUUUUUAACGAAAAACCUAAAAAGUAAGUUCCAGUUUUCAAACGAUGGAUUGCUAGUGUAAAUAUUUUGAUUUUGUGGAAAGACGUACCAGUACCACUCACCACUUCACAUGGUACUGCUUAGUCGCUACAUGUACAUAACUAUGUAAUAAAUUACGUUCAAAAAAAUCUACUGUCUCUAAAUUUGCCGUCCACAAUUUUCCAUUCCAUAAAGUAGUACUGAAAUGGUCAUUUAGUUGAGCUCAUAUAAAUAGUGUCUUCACGAGUUAUCAAAGAAAAUAGCUGAUUAAUGCACUUCAAGAUAUAUAAAAGUUUAAAGUAGAGAUCAUCAAUAAGUACUCAAAAUGGGUUUUAAACUGAUUUAACCAAAAUUUUAAGUUGCUUCUGACAUUUUCUGAUCAAUAAGAAUAAGGAUAAUAUAGUCAUAUUAAUCUUUGUUUUUUAUUUAGGCUGGAUUUCUUAUUUUGCAUUUUACAAAUGCUUGUUUUAGGUCAAUAAAUCGUAAAUCAUUAUUUAUAGAUUUGUGACCAAUUUGCCAUAUUUUGUGCGUUUCCACUCCCUCUUAAUUUUUUGAAUGCGUAUCUAGUGUCUUCCAUUGCUUCGUUUCUUAAUUUGAUCUAUACCUAUACCUACUUAAUAUUUUUACCAUUUCUUUAUUGAAAAUGAAUCAUACACCUUUGAACGAUACAAUUUUGUGAUUGAAUACAAUUUUAACUAAAAAGGGGUGAGCACUGAUCCCUGUCUGAUACCUCUAAGCUUGAAAUAUGUUACUGAUAGAGCUUUUUGGGAUUUUAAUAGGAGAUUUAUUAUUUAUGUCACUUUUACAAGAUAUAUUACUAUACUAAAUUUACAAUCAAGAUGCAGUAGAAAUAAACCAACCAAGACACGUUAAAUGCUACUAGGAGCACUCCCAAAUCAUAAUUUACAAUGUAUAUACAUUUUAAAUCCCAAAUCAUGAUUUUCAAAAUUUAUACAUUAUAAAUUAUGAUUGGGGAGUGCUCCUAGUAGCAUUUAACGUGUCUUGGUUUGUUUAUUUCUACUGCAUCUUGAUUGUAAAUUUAGUAUUGGCUUUGAUGGUUUUCAGGAUCAAAAGAUUUCCCAGUCAAUUCUUCGAAAACUGGCUUUACUUUCUGGAAAUCGUUGGCGGCAAAUUUAAGUGAUACCAAAAAUCCCUCUAAGCUAUAAAAUUAGUCGAAUUAUUUGUAUGUAGGAGAAAAUGUUUAUAAGUGUAAAUAGAAUAAAAACUGCGCAUUGCUUUAUAAUUAAAUUCCCAUAAAAAAUAAACCAAUUGGCGAUUUUAGAAAUGAGUUUUUCGUUGUAAACUUUUUUAAUUUGAUAAAAUUGUGAAAUUUCCAAUUUUCAAUUAAUAAAACAUGUGGCACUACUGUAUUUA